rnacentral:rRNA from 1 species
GACGAACGCUGGCGGCGUGCUUAACACAUGCAAGUCGAACGGAAAGGCCCUGCUUUUGUGGGGUGCUCGAGUGGCGAACGGGUGAGUAACACGUGAGUAACCUGCCCUUGACUUUGGGAUAACUUCAGGAAACUGGGGCUAAUACCGGAUAGGAGCUCCUGCUGCAUGGUGGGGGUUGGAAAGUUUCGGCGGUUGGGGAUGGACUCGCGGCUUAUCAGCUUGUUGGUGGGGUAGUGGCUUACCAAGGCUUUGACGGGUAGCCGGCCUGAGAGGGUGACCGGCCACAUUGGGACUGAGAUACGGCCCAGACUCCUACGGGAGGCAGGAGGGGGGAAUAUUGCACAAUGGGCGGAAGCCUGAUGCAGCAACGCCGCGUGCGGGAUGACGGCCUUCGGGUGGUAAACCGAUUUCGCCUGUGACGAAGCGUGAGUGACGGUAAUGGGUAAAGAAGCACCGGCUAACUACGG